rnacentral:rRNA from 1 species
AACGAACGCUGGCGGCAUGCCUAACACAUGCAAGUCGAACGAGACCUUCGGGUCUAGUGGCGCCCGGGUGCGUAACGCGUGGGAACCUGCCCUAGGGUGCGAAUAACUCCCCGAAAGGGGUGCGAAUACCGGAUAAUGUCUUCGGACCAAAUAUUUAUCUACUUUGGAUGGGCCCGAGUUGGAUUCGAUUGUUGGUAGGGUUAAAGGCUACCAAGGCGGGACUCCAUAACUGGUCCGAGAGGAUGAUCAGCGACACUGGGACUGAGACACGGCCUAGACUCCUACGGGAGGCGGCAGUGGGGAAUAUUGGACAAUGGGCGAAAGCCUGAUCCAGCAAUGCUGCGUGAGUGAUGAAGGCCUUAGGGUUGUAAAGCUCUUUUACCCGGGAUGAUAAUGACAGUACCGGGAGAAUAAGCUCCGGCUAACUCCGUG